AAAGUAAAAGGAAUAAUAGUCAAGGAAGAAAGGAGGGAAGUGGCAGGGAGAUAGCACAGAAUAGAGACAGAGAUAGCUAGUCUCGUGAGAAUUUUUCAGAUUAUUUGGCAAGUCUAAAAAUAUCCUCCAGUCUGAGAGAACGAAACUGGAACGAAACCCACUAUUAGUAGCCUUGCUCUGGUCACAUGCUCCGUGUUGUGGACUGUGUCUUGUAAUAAUACCGACCAUCAACCGAACGUCUUUUGUGCCAAGUUUUAAAGGAAAGUUGAACAGUUUUCUGUUCGGGCUUGAAACACAAAACUCUUUGCAGUUCUGCAGCGUUCUAGACUGGACCAUCGCCCUUUAUGUAAAUUGCAUACAUAAUCGCUGCUCCAAUUCAUGAUUCAUGUAUAACUGAUUCCGAUUAUUGCCGGUGGCAGAUACUUACUUUUUAUUUAGUUUGACACUUGAAAAUGGGUUUUAUUUAAAAUAAAUAGCCACUAAUUCUUAACACGUACACUCAUCACUUUCAUCAAAGAGGUUUUCUACAAAAAACGAACGCACAAAUGAGCAGUGAAAUGACUUUUGAAAAUUUUGCAAAUCAACCAGUUAAACGGCUAGUGUAGUGAACUUACGUAGAUGCGGAUUCACCUAGAGCGAAAAACAAAAACAAAAAAAAGACUACAAAAAAACCAAAGUGCAUGCAUUCUUACAUACAUACAUUUGUUCAUACAAUAUUUUCAGAAUUUCUCCGUCCAUUCGUUGCAUACUCGAAGGAGAAAUUGUAAACUUAACAGAAUUUUUCGUAAGCACAAAACAUAAGCCAUCCAUUGAGAGCAUCCUACUUACCAGAAAAACAAAAGCAAGAGAAAAUAUAAGAAGCACCUACAUACUGAGUGAUUCAGUUAGAUAAACAUACAUACGUACAUACAUACAUACAUGCAUGCAUAGAAACUUAGCUUCACACAUCUAUAUUCUUAUACGUAGUUAAAGUCAUACAAAACACAUGCACACACAUACAUACAUGCAUUCAAAGUAUUUAAAGUGCAUACAGAGUUGCAUACGCCAUCACAAACAUCACAGCGUAUGUAAAUAUGUUUAUAUACAUAUAUGUAUAUGUAUGUCUCUGUAUAUAUUUUAACGAAAUCAGUGGAAAUGUAUUAAAACUGGUGGCACACAUCCAAAAAAGAAUCAAUAUUUAUCACUUAUGAACGGAAAAAGUUAAAAGCUAGGCACAGCUCGCUUUAAUUUACAUGCAUACUUACAUACGUACUUUUCACACAAAUGUUACAAUUUUAUAAAAGCUUCUACGGAAAUGUGACAAAAAAACUGACGAAGAGAUUUUAACAGCAGACUUUAUUUUAUAUUAUCUCAUGACGUAUGGUACCAUUUACGUACCUACCUACACACACUUGCUGUAUGUAUGCAGUUGGUCAAGUUUCAUGUAGAAUUUUCACGUCAAAACGAAAUUAACUACAGUUAGGAAAAUUAACUCAUUGAAACUUACGAAGAAGUAAAAAGUCUUAUACAAAAUAUUAAAUAAAAGUAGAAAAUUUCAAUUAAGUAAUAAAACACAUUUUUCCUAUCCCAUAUUUGCUUACAAUUACACAUACACACAUACAUACACAUCCAUAUGCAGGCAUAAGAAUUUUAUAGAAGCAGUACUUUGAACAUGACAUCGAGCCCCGUUAAUUUUGUUGUUGUUGUAAAAUGUUAGGUGCGUUUAUUCAAAAAUUUACACUCGCACGCCGACACAAGCAAAUCCACUGUAGUCCAGAGAGCAUUGAUGUAUAGAGAGCGUUUAAGAACGAAUGUUUCUGUUAAAUGUCAAAUGCUAACAAAACGCGGCUAAGAAAUUUUUGUAAUUCCAACACGAACGGGAGAAAUUUAACAUACGAGAGUUAACAUAACUGAGCGUAGUCAAAAGAAUUAAAUAUGGCGUUUGCAAUGAAAUGUAAAAUUACAUGAUUUGGUGUAUGGCAAAAUAAAAUAACAGCACAACUUGUACAUUUCUCCUGCCUGCUUUUUGUCGUCGGCAUCAGUGUUCUCUGCUAUUACUGUAAUACAUAUUGUUAGUAUAAAACUUAAUUUAUAUUCAAAACUCUUCUCUCCUCCACAACAAACUUUAACAGCUAGAUAAAUGCAGAAUUUGAAUUAACAAUUCGAUAAAUACAUGCACAGAUACACUCAUACACACAUACACACACAUGCAUCCAUAUGUAAAUGUUAAAUAUUUUCUUUUCGAUAAAGUUAAGUUUCUAAAUACACACAAUCAGUAAUCAGCAACAACAAAAUAAUAACAUGCUUACAUAUUUACUUAUACAUACAAACCAGACGGUGAGGUAUUUUUGAAAACAACACAAUAUUUAAUUAUUAAAGAAUGUUUGAAACCAACAAACCAAAAUACACACAUACCAAGAGAAUGAUAGUAAAAACAAAAACAAAUAUUAAAUUGCAUAAUAUUAAUUAUAAUUACACUAUAUUAACUAUAUCUAUCCUUUUCUCUCUCGACGCUAGAUUGAAUGUCGAGAAACGACAAUAAACUGUGAAAAUGUAUUAAGAAACCAAAAGAAAAAAACCCGAAAAAAACCAACAAAAAAACUCAAAACUUAUAAAAAUUAUGAUACAAACCAGAACUUUAAUGGCAAAUAAAUGAAAACAAACAAAUAUAUAUACAUACAUAUAUUUAACUUUAAAUCAACUGAUAAAGAUGAAUGAUUAUUAUAAUGAAUAUGAUUAUGAUUAUGAUGACGAUGAAAUUUUCUUGCAACCAAUGCGAAAAUGUAAACAAAAUUAUUAUUGAAUAUAAAAGUGCAUAAAAAAAUUUAACAAUGAAAAAGAAAUUAUUAUUACAUAUUAAAUAAAUAAAAAACCAAAUUGUUUUCUAAUAAAGAAAAAAAUAAAGAAAAUUUCCAUACGGU